rnacentral:misc_RNA from 1 species
GCAAACUUGGUCAUUUAGAGGAAGUAAAAGUCGUAACAAGGUUUCCGUAGGUGAACCUGCGGAAGGAUCAUCUUUGAAUUUGAUCUUAUUCCAGGGGGUCUGGCCCCGCCUUGGGGCUAGGCUUUCUUACUCUGGGAAUUUGCACUAGUCUUGUGACAAGUGCACUUUCCCGCAACCCCCAAACAUAGCAAUAUGUUAUGUUUAUUGUAAUAUUAUACAACUUUUAACGAUGGAUCUCUUGGCUCCCGCAUCGAUGAAGAACGCAGC